rnacentral:lncRNA from 1 species
CAAUUUACAUACGACAUAGCCGAAAUGACGCCCCCACAUUUACACAGUUUAUACUGCUUGUUUAUAAAAGUACUUACAUACCUCAUCAAUAUUUUUAAUGAAAUAAUGAAAUUAGUAUACGUUAAUGAAAUAGCAAUAACCUUAACGCUUGACAUGAACACAUUUUUGGGAUUGGACACGUUUGUGGGUUAGUUGAAAAAUGGACACGUUUGGGCGUCUAUAUAAAUGUCACCCUUUGGCGCCCUUUUGCAACUAUACAUGUUUUACAGUUUCAGUGACGUUAUGUGGACACGUUUGGGGGAAUCGGACACGUUUGGGGGGAAGGACACGUUUCUGAGUGUAACAUAUAU